rnacentral:rRNA from 1 species
GACGAACGCUGGCGGCGUGCUUAACACAUGCAAGUCGAACGGAAAGGCCCUGCUUUUGUGGGGUGCUCGAGUGGCGAUCGGGUGAGUAACACGUGAGUAACCUGCCCUUGACUUUGGGAUAACUUCAGGAAACUGGUUCUAAUACCGGAUAGGAGCUCCUGCUGCAUGGUGGGGGUUGGUAAGUUUCGGCGGUUGGGGAUGGACUCGCGGCUUAUCAGCUUGUUGGUGGGGUAGUGGCUUACCAAGGCUUUGACGGGUAGCCGGCCUGAGAGGGUGACCGGACACAAUGGGACUGAGAUACGGCACAGACUCGUACGGGAGGCAGCAGUGGGGAAUAUUGCAAAAUGGGAGGAAGCCUGAUGAAGAAACGCCGCGUGCGGGAUGAAGGCCUUCGGGUUGUAAACCGCUUUAGCGUGUGACGAAGAGUGAGUGACGGUAAUGGGUAAAGAAGCACCGGCUAACUACGUG